UAUACAAAUCACAUUACAGGGUCACAUGCUUGCCUAUGUAUUCUUUUUCUCUUCUACCCAAUACUCGCAGGACUGACAUGUGGAACUGUGCAGCCUUUGCCAUCUGGAAAAAUAAAAAUGGAUGACGAAGAUGGUUAUAGGAAUAUCUUGAACCUCAAGCAUUCCCCGUUUCUACUGUGCUGAUCAGAAUCUGCAGAGUUCAUAGGAGAGAAAGGAAGAAUGCUGUCCCAAGUAUCCCUUGGUGCAUGAACAUAAGAUGCAUGGCCAGCUCUUUCACCCAGGUUUUGUGCAAAGAUUAAUUCUGACAGUGGAGAAGUAAAGAAAGGAUUAUUAGUCAAUCUCAGGGAAGUCUGGAAUUAUUAAAGCAGAGCAGCCACUAACCUGCAGGUCCCUGAAUCUUCUGGAGUAUGAUAUGAUGAUUGAUAACCUGACCUACACUUCUUGGAUCACUUGGCAGCUGUGCUGUCCAUUACUUGCCUAAACUACUUGCUGUCAUUAGUUAUAGCAGUUUUAUGCUUCAUAUACCACACAGCCUCUGAUGGCUGUCUCCCUAAUAAAUUCUUCAUCACCUCCAACAUGACCAUCUGCAUUGCAGCUUCAUUAAUAUCCUUUCAUUCCAAUUUCCAGGUGGGCAAUGUCUUGCUUAGUUAAAGCUUUUUGUAAAUUAUUAAUUAUUGCAACCAAGAAACCUCCUCCCUGGGCUUUCACUGGUAUCAUGAAAUAGUGAUUUCAUGGAUAUUACAGAAGUGCCGCUCGUUGC
rnacentral:lncRNA from 1 species